CGACUCAUAGACAAUAUUAGUGAGAGAUAAUAAUACAAACUUAUCCUAUUUUUAAAAUAAUUUCACUAAGAAAUUAAGAAGGAGUCCAACCAACUUCUGCCAAUUUUCAUUGGGUUAGACCUAAAGUCCACCACAACAAAAAUCAUCCUUCCAUUACCCCCUACCCUAAUUCAUAAUACAUUUUACUAUUUCACCUUUUCUUCUUUUACCACAGCCUUUCAUCUCCUUUCCUUCUCUAUCCUAUCGACAAACCUCCCUCAAAUGGCAAAGCGUUGCUGAUCUCCUUUUCACGCCAGCUCCAUCAUCUUCAACAGCACUGCUCAGCCGCCGUCUCCGUUUUCCAACUCGACAACGUUGCCAUUGCAUGCGAGGACGCUGUCGUCGUCAACAGCAAGUCUCAUGGCUUCCUCCACUGGUUUGGACUCUGGUCAACGUCGCCACUCGGACUCAUCAUCUUCCCAAACUCGCGUCGUUGCGCCGCCACCUUCAACCUUCCAUCGUGCCACGUCAAGUCCGCCACUGCCUCCAUGACGCACCGAGACAUCUCCUCUUUUUCCGUUGCGCGCUGCUGCUCGUCAUUCACCACAUUGGUUUCCAACAGUAGAGCUCCAUUAUAAAAGGAUCAUUGGUUAUAUAAAAAGAACAUGGUAAAUUAGCCACAAGCAAUAAAUUCUGUCACACCGAUCCAGAAUACUGAUGAAUGAUGAUCAAGUAGCAAGUGCUUCUUCUAUUGUGAACCUGAUAGAUUCAUUGCAGAAACAGUAUCUCAAAAUCAAAGAGCAUGCAAAAACCUACCCUUAUAUAUAGGCUUCCUAUAUUGUUGUAUAUGGUGAGUUUGGUCUAUGAACUACAUAUAGAUAGAGAAAGCUUCGAAAAACUGAAGACAGAGUUAAGAAUCUUCAAGAGAAACUAUGGAAGUUUGUUGAAACUGAAGAAUCUGAUCCUUCUACUUCUAAGAAUCUCCUAAUUUGUCAUUUUUCUGGUUUUAUUAUUAUUUUUAAGCUUGUGCAUGUUGGCUUUGAGUUUCAAUUAUUGUAUUUCUAUACAUGUGUUUGAACAAUUGUUGAAAGUGAUUGUAUUUUUCAUUGAGUUCAAGAGGAAAGAUGAAGAAUAAAGAAAACCUUUUUACUUA